CUCCCGGGAGAACAGUUCCCAAGCAAGAAAAGACCCGCCCCGGCCCUUCCCGACGCGCCCACCGCGGACCCCAAAGCACAGACUCAGUGCAGCCGGACGUGGCCUUCCGUGUGAGGAGCUCGGACAGAGUGACCAGAAAAGUUCUGGAUGAUGCCAGUGACUUCAUCUGGGUCUGGGAAAUAAAUAAUCCAUGGAGACAAUUUCAAGAGAAAGACAGCCCUGAAACUCAGUUCUUCCUGGAGAGAUAUAAAUGGCAGUCCCAGCCUGGAACUUUCAGAAACGCUCUGUAAGAAGGAAAGAUCUGACUGGCAGUCUUCCUCCUCCUGGAACACUGGAGAGGCAGUGGUGAGCCACAAAGAUAAAAGCUUCCCACUGAGACUAUUGAAGCAGAAAAUAGAAGGAGAUUGGAUCCUUACUGAUGAUGAUUCAGAAAAGAAAGGAGGUGAAACACUCAUCAUUAUGGAUGUCUUUCAGAAAAGUUGUUCAAAUAUGCUGUAAUAAAGUGAUAAGCAACCUAUUGUGACCACAAGGAGAAGAUAUUUGGCCUGGGUGGUGAAGGCACCAUCAAAAAUGAUCCCUGAAUUGUGGUCAUUUCCUCACAACCAAAAUGAAGAUGAAAUGUGCCCUGUACAAUAAAGGAUGUGACUCUGA